GUAAGGAACUGGUCGCCCACUCGAGCGAUUUCCUCGAUGGCCAGUUGAGUUUCCGCGAGCGGCUGGCCGUGAGAACCCACCUCGCCAUGUGCCGCCAUUGCCGCCGCUUCAUCCGCCAGAUGCGCCUGAGCCAGGCCGUGCUGCGGCGCCUGCCGGAUACGCCGAUUCCCGAGCUGGAUGCCUUGUCCGCCCGCCUAGCCAAGCAGCGGCGGGAUGAUCUCGUUUCGUAGUUCAUGGCAGGCAUU
rnacentral:sRNA from 1 species